rnacentral:tRNA from 1 species
AAAAUUGAAACAAAAUAUUUGUUUUCAGUUUCGACCUGAAAUUUUGGAGUAAAUAAUUCUCCCCUUUUUA